CGAGCAGCAGCGUCCGCGGAUCUACAACGCAUCCUUUCCCGGAAGUGGCGCGCGUUUAAUGUUUGUGCGUCAGCGCUAAAGUCAGCGUUUAGUCAAAACUCCAACGCCGUCGCGUUUUUUUUUUCACCACAGAUGUCAACUUGGAUACGUUUGUUUUCCAAGCCCAUGGCUGAAAACACGAGUGAUCAUUUUGUAUAGUAAUGUUUAUUUUUUUAACUAAAAAUCAAUCAAGUUAACUGACAGAAGUCCUGUAAAGGGAAGGGAAAAAUGGACCACGAAUUUGAGGACAUGGAUUCAGAAGGCCGGUGGCAAAACCUCUACAUAGAAAUCCGUAACCAGUCUCAGGAAUGUCCUUUCAAAGUGGCGAAGUAUCCAGAGAACCGCAACCGUAACAGAUACAGGGAUGUCAGCCCCUUUGAUCACAGCCGAGUGAAACUGGGGAACUCGGAGAACGACUACAUCAACGCGAGCCUGGUGCCCGUGGAAGAAGCCCAAAGAAGCUACAUACUAACUCAGGGCCCUCUCAGAAACACUUGUGGUCAUUUCUGGCUGAUGAUCUGGGAACAGAAAACGAAAGCAGUCAUCAUGCUGAACAGAGUGAUUGAGAAAGGCUCGGAGAAGUGUGCGCAGUACUGGCCGACGCAGGAGGAGCACGAGAUGGCGUUUCGGGACACGCGCUUUGUCGUGCGGCUGCUAUCAGAGGACGUUAAGUCUUACUACACCACACGUUUACUGGAGCUGCAGAACGCAAACACGGGGGAGAAGAGAGAAAUCUACCACUUUCAUUACACCACAUGGCCUGACUUUGGCGUCCCAGAAUCCCCGGCGUCCUUCCUCAACUUCCUGUUUAAGGUGCGCGAGUCGGGAUCGUUAGGGGCGGAUCACGGGCCGGCGGUGGUGCACUGCAGCGCAGGGAUCGGCCGAUCCGGAACCUUCUCCCUCGUCGACACCUGUCUCGUCCUGAUGGAUAAAAGGAAAGACUCGUCCUCGGUGGACAUUAAGAAGGUGCUGCUGGACAUGAGGAGGUACAGGAUGGGUCUGAUUCAGACUCCUGACCAGCUCCGCUUCUCCUACAUGGCCGUGCUGGAGGGGGCCAAGUGCAUCAUGGGAGAUUCAUCAGUACAGAAACGGUGGCAGGAGCUCUCCAGAGAGGAUCAGGUGUGUGUGUCCGAGUCUCCGUCUCCACCCAAAUGUCCAUCAGAGCGCUACAACGGCACCCGGAAGCUCCGAGCGGACGACACGGGGGAGACGGAGGGAGCGAAAAAAACGACAAAAGACGAAAGAGAAGCAGACGGAGACACGUGCACGACGAACGCGCGCAAGAGACAGAGAGACGAGAAGAUCUCCAUUUCUGCACAGAAAACUCCUCAGAAGCAGCCGAAGCCCAGGACAAACGAGGCGGAGAAGAAGAGGAAAAGCCUGGGCUGCAUCUGCUGUACAUGACAAAGCGAACUCUGACCCCUCCGCUCUCCCGGCCGAGGCCGAGGCCGAGGCGGCGCCGCGAGUCUGGGCUCACCCGGGCCUCUGUGCACAAACCCCAGGCUAGCGAGAACGACCAGCGACACCUAACGCCUCGGCAACCACAGCAGGGAUCUCCAGACCAUAAUACUCCUCUACACUGUUUACAGCAUGGACUCUGAGCAGCGAGUGUGUCCUCAUCCCAACACACACACACACACACACACCAGCAGAGCAGCGCUGGACUCGAGCACACUGCCGUGGCUUUGAUCUUGGUCUCAAUUCUAAUUAUUAUAUCUAUUUUUUUAUUUUAUUUGAAUUUUCGCAGAAUCUGAUGUUGUAGUUCUAUGCAUCACCGAUUUGUAACAUCGUAUUUUUUAUUAGACGACCACGUUAUUUCUGAAAUACUCUAUUUUUUUAUAUCAGAGACGACUUCGAAGAUUCGCUCGCAUCCGAGACCUGCUGCGCUUUUAAAGGUACUUCGGUACGGCGGAAUUAAACGCAAGUAUUUUUGAUAAGACGACGUGUUCGCUUUAUGAGGAACAACAGAAAACGAAAAAAAAAGUCUUACGAAUUUCCUCUUUAGUGAAAUAAAGGAACGCUGCAUUGUCUAGUUUGUGUAUCAGUGGCAUGCGUUAUCGUCUCAUUGUCACGUUAUAUUAAAACUCUUUUUUUUUUUUUUUUUUUUAAAGCGAAUAAACGUCCGGCAGAGUGUUACUGAACGGGGGAGGGGAUAUGCAAAUGAGUAUGAAUAUGCAAAUGAGUAUGUUCAUUAUGUCUUAUUAUUGCACCAUAAUCCACCUCUUUAUUUAUACUUCAUUUCAACACACACACACACACACACAGCUCUCUAGGGCUAUUCCUUUAAAAAUGACAUUUAAUUUCAUCUACUUUAAACCUUUUACAUUGGAAUGCAUUUGCAUAUUAAUGAGUGUUUAUAAUGUUAGCUACACUGUGUUUAAAUCACACCAUGUACAUAGAAAGUACAUUUUUAAAGAAAAGCGAAGAAAAAAUAAUAAUUUUCUUGUCAGUUUUAUUGUUUUAGAUUAGAUUUUAUGGAUUUCCCACCAGAAAUGUUUUAUUUUCAUUGACGUCACGUUCAUUUCUAUCCCGAGUUUAACAUAAAAAUCCAAACAAAUGAACAAAUUCAAAUUAUUCACUAUAGAUGCUCCCUACCUAGUGCACGAUGUGCCUGAUAGCCGUUUGAGAUUCAGCCGAACUUAUCUACAGCUCCAGUUAGAGCCUGUUUAAUACUUACUUUAUUAUUUUAUUAUGUGAGAAAUAAAUACGCUAUUUAUUUACA